rnacentral:rRNA from 1 species
UACAGAGACUGCAAGCGUUAUUCGGAUUCACUGGGCGUAAAGGGUGCGCAGGCGGCCAAGUGUGUUAGGCGUGAAAGCCUGAGGCUUAACCUCAGAAUUGCACCUAAAACUACAUGGCUAGAGCAUUGGAGAGGGUAGCGGAAUUCACGGUGUAGCAGUGAAAUGCGUAGAUAUCGUGAGGAACACCAGAGGCGAAGGCGGCUACCUGGACAAUUGCUGACGCUGAGGCGCGAAAGCUAGGGGAGCAAACGGG